rnacentral:rRNA from 1 species
CACGUAGGGUGCGAGCGUUGUUCGGAAUUAUUGGGCGUAAAGAGCUCGUAGGCGGUGUGUCGCGUCGGCCGUGAAAACCCGCAGCUCAACUGCGGGCUUGCAGCUGAUACGGGCGGGCUGGGAUUCGGUAGGGGAGACUGGAAUUCCUGGUGUAGCGGUGAAAUGCGCAGAUAUCAGGAGGAACACCGGUGGCGAAGGCGGGUCUCUGGGCCGAUAUCGACGCUGAGGAGCGAAAGCGUGGGGAGCGAACAGG